rnacentral:rRNA from 1 species
AAAACGACUCUCGGCAACGGAUAUCUCGGCUCUCGCAUCGAUGAAGAACGUAGCGAAAUGCGAUACUUGGUGUGAAUUGCAGAAUCCCGUGAACCAUCGAGUCUUUGAACGCAAGUUGCGCCCUAAGCCUUCUGGUCGAGGGCACGUCUGCCUGGGUGUCACAAA